rnacentral:rRNA from 1 species
GAUGAACGCUAGCGGGAGGCUUAAUACAUGCAAGUCGAGCGGCAAGUUUUGAUAGCAAUAUUGGAACCUAGAGCGGCGCACGGGUGAGUAACGCGUACAUGACCUGCCCUAUACUGGGGGAUAGUCUUGGGAAACUGAGAAUAAUCCCGCAUGUGAUUAGAAUGCUGCAUGGCAAAUUAAUUAAAGCUGAGGCGGUAUAGGAUGGGUGUGCGUCUGAUUAGCUAGUUGGUAGUGUAACGGACUACCAAGGCGAUGAUCAGUAGGGGGCGUGAGAGCGUGACCCCCCCACACGGGUACUGAGACACGGACCCGACUCCUACGGGAGGCAGCAGUAAGGAAUAUUGGUCAAUGGAGGGAACUCUGAACCAGCCAUCCCGCGUGAAGGAUGAAGGGGCUCUGCCUUGUAAACUUCUUUUGCAUGGGACGAAAAACUUAAUUUAUUAAGGACUGACGGUACCAUGAGAAUAAGCACCGGCUAACUCCGUGCCAGCAGCCGACGG